CCUCUUGUAGCUUAGUGGUCAGAGUAUUGGUGCAUAAAGCCAAAGGUCCCGGGUUCGAUUCCCGGCAAGGGUG
rfam:Agrilus planipennis Contig61738, whole genome shotgun sequence.